UAUUCCUGCUCUUUCAAAUUGUUCUUUCUUGUUUCUUUCUUUUCCUUUGGUUUUUGCGUACUGGACGUGCUGGAUUUUUUAGUUUGUUGUUUAUUGCCUGGAUUCUAAAUUCAAGUGUUUCUUCCGUUUCAUCUUGCCGAUUGAUAUUGAGUGGUUGGGACUUUUGUUCUUUAACGUCGCACUAAUCAAGGAUUUUGUUUUCUUUUUACGUUAACUUAAUAAGAGUGACUUUCAUUGUCCUAUGAUCGGAGUUUCCAAUGAUUCUUUCUAAUUCUUUUCUCAUCAAUUGCCCCUAUUUUGUUUCCUAAUUUCUUCUCCCCAUAUCUGGAGUUUUAGUGUUAUGUUUUCUUUGUCCUGUGUGUUUAGAAGGAAAUUUUCUUGUUGUUGAUUAAUCUGCUUCGGUUUCCCUUGAAACUGCUGGCUGGAGGGAAUUUGACAACGAGGCAGGGUGCUUUGUACUUUUGGUGGGAAACUUUAGACCAACUGCUUUUGUUAAUUCUUCUUUAUUUAUUGAGUG